rnacentral:rRNA from 1 species
UGGGGAAUAUUGGACAAUGGGCGCAAGCCUGAUCCAGCCAUGCCGCGUGAGUGAUGAAGGCCUUAGGGUUGUAAAGCUCUUUCGCCGACGAAGAUAAUGACGGUAGUCGGAGAAGAAGCCCCGGCUAACUUCGUGCCAGCAGCCGCGGUAAUACGAAGGGGGCUAGCGUUGUUCGGAAUCACUGGGCGUAAAGCGCACGUAGGCGGAUUGUUAAGUCAGGGGUGAAAGCCUGGAGCUCAACUCCAGAACUGCCCUUGAUACUGGCAAUCUCGAGUCCGGAAGAGGUAAGUGGAACUGCGAGUGUAGAGGUGAAAUUCGUAGAUAUUCGCAAGAACACCAGUGGCGAAGGCGGCUUACUGGUCCGGUACUGACGCUGAGGUGCGAAAAGCGUGGGGAGCAAACAGAAUUAGAUACCCUGGUAGUCCACGCCGUAAACGAUGGAGGCUAGCCGUUGGCGAGCAUGCUCGUCAGUGGCGCAGCUAACGCAUUAAGCCUCCCGCCUGGGGAGUACGGUCGCAAGAUUAAAACUCAAAGGAAUUGACGGGGUCAUAGCUGUUUCCU